GAAUGCUCUCCGAAAGCAUUGCUUAAUUACUGCACAUCAUUGCAAAUUUGCAUGGCAAGUUGGCAACUUCCAGUUCCAAGCCUCAAGUUUCAACCAGAUGCAAACAGCAAACCUGCAGGAGCAUUGACACACAACGUUUACCAAAACAAAACAAUAGUUCCCAGUGCGAAACUGCCAAUCACUGAGACACCACGAGAAACUUAACGAGAACAGCAAUGGACAUCAAAAUGUCAACAUCGUGUUUUGUAAUUCCAUUGCAAUCAUGGCAAUGUUUUAGCCAUAUUAUAACUAAUUGUUUGACUUAUUCAGUAUCCAUGGCUGAUCCCUUAACCUUUAGAUAAAUCACCACCGUCCAAAUUCAAGCUCGCAACGAGGAGCGCGGCGUGGUCUGGGCCUUCCCCUUGCCCUAAUGUAGGGUCUUCCAGCGUGCGCUUGCUCUGCAAGUAUAUAUAGUCCAAUGUCAGAUGACAUGAAAUACUCCAGGUUUCACAACACUUUACAUCGAAAAGAAGUACAGAUGUUAUAGAUAUGAACAAACUUUUCAAAAAGAAAUUUUCGACUAGUUUCCCCACCUGUAUCCCCAUCCGCUACAAAGUGAUACCUAGUCCUACUUCAAGUUAUCAAGUAAUUAAACACUCAUACUACCAAGCCAUGCAAAUAAUCUCACUAAACAUAUUAGAUAAUUCUAAGAUGAAAACGUGGUAGCAUGAAUCAAAAGUUGGAAAUAACUGAUACCCUCUGGUUUGUGGGAAACUAAAACAUAAUUCUAAUAUCAACAUGGCUUCCGUAACUUCAUUUUGUUAAGUACAGAGCUUACUAAUUUGCAUAACACGGUAAGCACACCAGUCUAUGAUUAGGCUCAGCUAACGGAGUAUACAUUUGCUAUGAGAUAAAUGCAUCCACAAACAAACAGAAACUACGGAAGAAACCCAAUUUAGAUGGACAACUAAAUGCAAGUGCAGAGUUGGAAGAAUAUAUGCUGACCCUACAAGAAAACAAUACUUCGCGUACGUGAUCUCCAAAGUGAAAACAUCUCGACUGGCAGCAACCAGCACGGUCAACGUGACGCACGAUUUUCCAAUUAUGCCAUGAAUAAAAUGAUUAAUAAGGCAAUAACAAAAAUCCCAUAAGAAAAAGAAAAGGUAGUGCCUAUCAGUAGCUGAUUGCUAACACUUCUUCAAAAAUAUAUUUCAAACUACUUAUACACAUAGCAAAGACAAAGAUUGCUUUGACAUCAAAACACAACAAAUUGUGAGAUAAUUUUCCCUGAAGACAUAAUCUUUCGUCCUUGUAGGCACGAUAACCAAUUUAUUAACGCAUACGAUGUGCGCUAAUCUUUCCGGAUACCAUCCAUUGCACCAUAUGGACAUUCAAAUUGGAAAAUCAAAGGGUGUAUGUGGUGUUGUAGGGUAUUCCACCCCUCGCUCUACGCGGUAUGUGAAGAUGACUUGUUGUUUACCAAUGUCAAGCCGCAGAGAACCAACAUGGGAGGAAAGAGAGAACUUGUGUGAUUGGUUGUGUGUGCUCUGGUUCAAGACAACAACCAAGCCCAUUUUAUUUUCUCAGGGCCAACUAGUAGCAUUUGUUUCCAUAUUUUCAUUGGCGAAAUAUCUUUGACAUAAGAAAUUGCUACUCAAUUAUAUAUUUCCAUUAGAAUUUACUCACGAAAAGUUUGUUGUCGACCCAAUGCCUUAUUCGCCCCUAAAAGAUGGACGUUAGGCGACUCUUUAAAUAUACCGGCCACAAUUGUUUAGCCGCUAUAAGUUUACUAGUUACUACCACCGGCCAGGUUAAUUAGCUCCCUUCGUAUUUUGUACUAAACUUUAACCUUAGAUUUGGUUAGCAAAAUAUAAGUUGUAUGACAUACAAUUUAUAUUGAUAGAUUUGUAUUUGAACGAAGUUUCCAAUGAUAUCAUUUUUGUUACAUACAAAUUAUAUUUUGCUAGUUAGUUUAUAUGGUCAAACUUUGAUCCAAAAUAAAACCAAUAAACCGCACAAAGGUAGUAGGUGCUUCGAAAUUGAUAUGAUAUCAAGGACAUGAGGAGUCAACUUCAGGACCUGUCAAUGCACCAUUAAUAAAAAGCCUACAUGAAUACCACGACUAGGCUCAUCUAGGCUUUAGAAGAGCCUAGACAUGAUGCAUGUGUUGAAAUAUAUUUUCCAAGCUUCUUCAUUAACAUAAGCUUUUGCGGAACUGCUUUUUAACCUCAUGAAUUCAACAGAGGGCAUACCCAUUGAAUGGACCAACUCAACUAGUGUACAAUGUCUCUUAGGCCAUGAGUUUCGUCCUAUUUCAAUGCACAUAAUUAGCUUUCCUAUAAACUCAUAAUGUUGGUAUGAGUGUCUCAAAGAAGCCAAUUAAGAUUCGGCUUGACAAAAUAUAUAUGGACAUGAAUAACACACAACGCCUAAAUGGUUGCUUGAAUCCAUCAUGGAUUCCGGUUGCCAAAAUUGGCAAGGUAAACUUUACACUAAAUUUAAAAUGGCUACGCUUCCCAUAAGGGAAGCCGAUGUGUUCAAUAUAUCAAGUUAAUAUAUGUGGUGCACAUUUGGUUAUGAAAUACAGAUGACUUGGUGAUAUCCUGGUGGUGGAAUUGAAGUGGUACAUUUUUACGGUCUUGUUCAACUCGAUGGGGGCACUUAGUACAAUUAUAGUUAUUUGGGCACAUCCACUAUCCUUGACACAAAGUGUCACCUCGCUCCUCCCUGUUAGUACAUGUGAUUAUCAGAGUCACCAUAUGGGGCACAUUUUAGUGUGUAAUAUUAAGAACUUAGAAAUGCCAUUGAUGCGGAAUUGUAAUGGCACAUCUUUCAAUUUGGAUUCGACGAGAUGGAGGCAGUUAAGUUCGCAAUGUCUCAUUGUUUGGGAUAAUUGUUUUCUCCUUGACACGAAAUGCAAAAUCCCUCCUCUUUUUUUGUACAUGUCAUUACCAAGUUUACACCAUAGGGUACAUUCAAUUAUGUAAUACUGACGACUUGGAGUUGUAGAAUUGCAAUGCUGCAUCUUCACCGACUUGGGUUAGAUUUUUGGUAGAAGGUGGGUAAUUCCAUAAUUAUUAGGGCAUGUUCCGUCCCCUUGAAAUAUCAGGCCUUACCAUUCGUACCCAUUGGCACAUGUCAUUAUGCAAUACUCAUUUUUGUUUAGAGUAGGUAAUACACCAUGUGUGACAAUAUGAUGCAUGGGGUGGAUUCAACUCGACCUAUGGUUCAAAAAUUGUGGGUAAUAUUGAAGGUUAAUGAUCACCUGGACUAAACUUAUGUUCAUCUAAAUGCAAUUGGAGUUUAGUCCCCUUUCCAUUGUCUUGGUCAAAUAAACCACAUAACGAUAUUAGUUUACAGAAGUAGCAAACGUGCACACACUGAACGGUAGGCACAAAGUGUGAAAGCAAGAUUACAUAGUACCAUAUAUAACCAAUACACCUACUACAUAACAAAUUAAUCAACCCAUGUGAGGACAUGUGUUCCUUAACAAUUGAAUCUGAUACAAAGCCAUUGACAACUUUUUGCUCCAUGUUCCCCGUCCUUUGCAACAUAGACCACUUAGCUUGACCAUGACGUAGUAGCCAGGGUGAAGCCCAAUGAUCAUGUAGGAUGUGAGUUUGAAUUAUAUGAAGGAUAUUGAUGUAUAUUAGAACCCUCCAUUUGAAUCUCAAAAUAAUAUUCUUUUGGUGUCUCCUAUCUUUAUCAGCUUUACUAGAUAAGAUACCUCAAGAAUCACCAUAUGUCUUUCCGUGUCAUGCAUAUUGUAACCCUUAAAUUAGUGGUGCAGAGCCAUAUGGACAACUAUUCGCUCAGUGUCCUCUGGCCUUUGCAACUUAGACCACUUAGCUUCACAAUGAAGUAGUAGCCGCAAUUGAUCCCAAUGUUGAUGUAGGAUGUGGGUUUGAAUUACACGAAGGAUCAAACUCUCGACAUAGGUCACAUAGCCACCUUUCACAUCCAUCCAAUUGGUGACAUUCAUAUCUUAUUUGACUCCACUUACUCAUGUUAUUUCUCCCUUUAUAGCCGGUCAUGCAAGUCCAACUCUUCAACUUAUUUGGAAACCAAACAUGCACGCCCACCUUAUCUCACACUACCCAUGGUGCCAUCUUCCAUGGCGAGCAACAUAAAUGAGAUAUUUUCUCAUGGGCCAACACAAUUCUUGACCUAUUGUAUUCUCAUGUACCUCAAGACAUAGAUUUGGCACUGAUGUUGCACAAGUUGCCAUAUGGAUAUUCUAGUUCAAACAACCAACAUAUAAAAACAAAUAUGGAAAAUUGAUUAGAAAAUCCAUUUUGAGUGGCCAAAGUGUUGAAGGACACCGAUGACAUACUGAACAUGUGAACUAUAGGUGGUAUACCACAACCCACCACUAAUAGACCCAAGUCAUAGAACGUGAGUGCCUAAAUCAUUGGCCAAUCAUUUAGACCACGCCACGAGAAAAGCUUAGCCCAGGAUGAUAAGUAAAAACAAUCCCUUCCUUGUAACACUAAUUCCUUAUCUAGCCACCAGUACACUUCUCUAACUCGGUCUGCAUGGCGUCACCUCCAAGUGAUCCUUGAGAUGGUCCAGGAGGUGGAGCAUGCCUUUCCACCUCGCUCUUCCACCUAGAUGAUGAUGGUCUCAACUUCUUCACUGAACACCGAGUCGACCGGAUCAGUGAUUACCGAUCGAGGGUGUUGCUUCUGGUGGACAUCCUUCUCCAUUUAUAUCCCGUGAUUCUAGUAUUCUUCGAGUGCCUUCCCGGAGUCCUUUUUCUUUGUCAAGAUCCCAGUUCCAUGCCUUGUUUGAACAACACACCACAAAUCACAUCAAUGAAUAUUAGAAUCCAGCAGUAGAGGUUGAAUGACCAUGAUAUCAAGUACAUGGAUCCCUAUCAGACGCUAUGAUGAAUGACAUAGAGUAAGGCAGUGACAUGUACAUGGACAAAUUGCUGAUAGGUCAUGUAUUUGUCCCGGUACUUGGCUUAUUUCAUGGAUUUUUUUAAACCUCCAUUAAUGGGCACAUGACAAAAAUUGCAUGUUACUCUUCACUAACUAUAGACUAGUGAAUGGGGGACGAAUCACCCGCUAAUGUGUAGUUUUGGACCCGUCAUUAUAGGAUGGUUUUCUAGUGUAGUGUCGGAAGUAUGGCAAGAUAAUGUGUGUCAUGAGAGAGAGAGAGAGAGAGAGAGAGAGAGAGAGAGGGAGGGAGGGAGGGAGGGAGAGGGAUGGAUGGAGAGAGAGAGAGAGAGGAGGGAUGGAUGGAGAGAGAGANNNNNNNNNNNNNNNNNNNNNNNNNNNNNNNNNNNNNNNNNNNNNNNNNNNNNNNNNNNNNNNNNNNNNNNNNNNNNNNNNNNNNNNNNNNNNNNNNNNNNNNNNNNNNNNNNNNNNNNAUGGAUGGAGAGAGAGAAAGAGAGAGGUUGAGAGAGGGAGAGAGAUAUGAGUAGAUUACGUGGCUUGGAAGACAGGCUGUAUUGUAUAAGAAUCACCAUGCAGAAUGGGCCUAUUCGAAGUAGGACAUCACACUAGCCAUGACAUGCCUAGAAGGCACAUGAACUGACUGUGGUAUGGACAUACCAAGGACUGUUAGGACGCAUUAAUAAUUAACUAUUAAAAUAUACUCCAUAUAAUUUGUGUAGAUUCACAAUUGUUAUGUAAUUAAAAAAACUAGCUAAUGGCGUACACACUAGAAUAGAACCAAAACUUAUCUUAAAAAGGUUCCAAACUUCAAACAAAGUAGCAUGGCUAGAUGCAAAAUAGUGUAACAUGUCACCAUAGGUAACCUAACGUAUAUAAGAUGGAAAUGGUAGCAAUCCCCUGGAUUCCACCCAUGGUCGUGACAACAUAACAACAUAUCAUCAUGACAUAGGGAGCGGACUAGUUUCGUCGAGGAGUGUGUGUGUGUGUGUNNNNNNNNNNNNNNNNNNNNNNNNNNNNNNNNNNNNNNNNNNNNNNNNNNNNNNNNNNNNNNNNNNNNNNNNNNNNNNNNNNNNNNNNNNNNNNNNNNNNNNNNNNNNNNNNNNNNNNNNNNNNNNNNNNNNNNUGUGUGUGUGUGUGUGUUGGGGGGGGGGACCAUGAAUCCCAUUCGCUGGAGUGCGCAUCCACAUGUGCGAGAUGAGUAGUGGGAGGGGGAUGGAAACCUAAUUCUUAUCUCUUACUUUCUUCUAUUUGGCCCUACCUAUGUGUGUGCUUUUGGUUUUCAACAUUGUUCUUCCGUUUUUUUCCGUAAUUCUAUAAGAUUAAUAUUGCACAAAGUUUAACAUUUAGAAAUUUCAAGUCUCGAAGUUUAAUUUGCACUUUUGAAAGUUGAAAUGACUCAAAAGUUUAAAACUCCCAAAUAUUGGAAGUUAGACAUUUUGAAAGCUGGAAGUCCAGAUUCCAUAAAGUUGAAAUCUAGGUUGUUGUUUCAAAAUUUUAGUAAUCCUUUUUAAAAUUGCAAGAAAUGAAUGGCUUCCAAAAUUGGAAAGUACGAAAAAUAGCAAAUCCUCAUUUUUCGAGCAGGCAACUCGGACCCUGCUCACUGGUAGAGUGUGUUAGCCUCACCUCUUACAUAUUUCUUAAUUAAGUUUUGGGCGAGUUCACAUGGCUACUUAAUCAUAGCAAAGAUGCAAAGGACAUUUGAAUGUUUUUUUCCAUAAGACAUGUAAUGGCUUGAUUGUAACGCAACAAAGUAAUUGGUAAAUGGUCCCGACCGAGCCCUCCCGCGUCGCCCCCGCAGGCGACGUGAAGGGAACCCUAGCCACCGCCGGGCAACACCUCCCUCCUACUCCUCCCCUCCUCCGCCGCCACAAGGCUCUCCGAGUGAAGCUCGGCCGGUGCCGGCGGCUGCGGGAAUUCUCGCCUCCUCGCGUGUGGGGGUUGGUCCGAGCCGGCUUCGACGGGUCUGGGCGCCACGUUUGUUGGGUUGCGUUGGCGCAACGGAGCUCCUUCGGGUGGCGGCAUGUGGUGGUCUCGGUGGUGUGGCGGGCCGAGCUCGACUUAGAUCGGGCGGAUGGCUGAGGCUGGCGAUGCGGGCCGUGGGCGGCAUGGGCUGAUAGUGGGCCAGCAGCGGUAUGGUGGUGGUGCGGGCCGGAGGUCGAGGACGGUGGUCGCGGCGGUUCGGCCAGACCUGACCUCGUGGCGGCACAGGUGGGGCACGUGCGCCGAAGAGCUGGACCUCUCCUAGCUACGGUCCAUCCCUCGUCUUGCGUUCGGAGUAGCAGGACUGAGCUCGUCUCGCGCCCGGUGCUGCAGGACCGAGCUCGUCUCACGCUCGAUGCAGCAGGACCGAGCUCAUCUCGCGCACGGUGGUGCAGGACCGAGCUCGUCUUGUGACCGGUACGGCAGGUGGAGUCGAUGUAGGCCAGUUUUGGCCGGCCUUUGGGUCUCAGCACUAGGGUCCAGGGGUACGAAAGGUGGCUCCUUUCCCUCGUCUCUUUUGUUGGGGUAGCGACGUGUCUCAGGUGCGGUGGUGUGAGGGUCUUGGAUGGCGGGCGACGGCCUUGGGGAUGGUAGCGCGGUGCUCAUGGGCAGAGCCCGUGCUCGGUGUUGCCCGAUGAGCAUGGCCAUGUGGACGACGUGGUAGCUGGGGUGUGGCGUUCGGUGGUGGUGAGUAUUGACCGGGGUGAAAACAUGUUCUAUCUUCGGACGCACUAGCGGAGGCGAAGAUCAGUCCCUUCUUGAAGGCGUCGUUGCGGCUCUCAUUACCCGUCUGGUGCUCUAGGGGAAAUUCUGAUCCUUGGAUCGGGCGGUGGCGGCGCUCCAGUGUCAUAACCUUCCUGAGGGAGCCGUUGAGUUCCCCCGUUGCUCUUGUAGUGCUAGGGGUGGUGUUGUUGCGCUCAAUACCUCUAUAUCUUGCCGUGGGUGUGUGCAUGUGUUGUGGUGGCGUGCGUUUGUACCGACAUGUUGAUGGCGGUUGCUUUACAUAUAAAGUGGGGCGAAAGCCUUUUUCCGCAAAUGGUCCCGAUCUAACGAUCCCCUCGCAUGUCAAGCAUUGUGUCUUUACUAGAUUUGCGUCCAUUUUACGGUCACUCUUCCCGCACAGCUCUCUUUAGGUCGCACUUGUCAAUUCACGCGCCUUCUCAACUACACCUCUUCUCUUUCUCCCAUCGCUCGUCCCCUCCUCCCAUCGAGAUGCCAUGGACCAUAUGACUUUUUGUGCUUUGACGGUAGCGACAAGCCACGUCGGUGAGAAGGUUUGCUAGGACCAGCGACUGUAAGUGCUACAACCGACCCUAGAUGCUGAUGGGAUUGGCCAUGAAGCUUGUUGUUAGAUGCGAUGGGGCCGCAUGGUGCUACAAGGCCCCAGUGCUUGGAUCGCAGUGCUAAGACUUUUCACAACAAUGGCAUUACGGUUGUCAUAGUGUGUUACGACAAGGUCGACCGACGACGCGAAAGUGAUUGCUGCCAUGCCAAGGUGCAAGCUCCACGUCGUAGAGGCACCAUGCUGGAACCGCCAAGGUGACGUGUUCCAAGACCCCGCACCAGGAGAUCAAACUAGCCAGGUGACAUUCUCACACCACCCACACCAAAAGACGGACUCCCACUAUAGGAAUCAGGGACUUUUUCAUCUGUCUGAUCCAGUACUGAUAUGUCUCACAACCGAGGAAUAGCCGAACGAAAAAACUAGGAGAGCUGGCGGCUCUAACGCUCCAACGGAAGGAACUAACAAGUCCAUCCCUACCUCCUUUGAGGCCUCCAGCGCACUAACGGGGCAUGCAUGAAAACGCCGUUGAGAGACUUCAUGAUGAGGUUGAGGUGGCUCCGAGACAAAAACUUUCAAACCCUAUGCAUAGGAUAGGAAUAAAAUAUUAUCCACCUGAAAGCGGCUAACGGUCGGAGUCAUAAACCUCACUUUCCCUGUUCGUAGGGUUGGUGUAAUGAAAAGGUUCGACCGUGGCUUCCAGGAAAAUCUCGCUUGAAGAAAUAUUUGGACCAUGAAGCGCAUGUGUAACCUCAACUCGGACUAUGAGAUCACAUGCUUAUUGGGACGGCUCGGGUGGCUCUGCCUCUAUAAGCAUACAUUUGAUAUUCCCGCUAGGCUAGUGGCUGGAUAUGCCUCUCCAACCACCUGCUAUCAUGUCAUUCUCCUUAUAAUCCACAACCAAAGUGUGGGGAUGUUCGAUGGAAGCACUCGCAUAAGGUAAUGAGCCCAACAAGAUGUCGCACCCCAUUUAGUGUGAAAUUAUGUAGAUGAUAGCCAUAAUAGGCGAGGAUUCAUCGAACGAAGAGGUAUGGCGGGAGAGAUAGGCUAUAGAAAAUGAGUUACACGUGGACGACCAAUACCCAACUCAGAGGAUUCAGUAUAUUAUCCAUGGGAUGCAUGACGAGCCAUGAGAGAAAGUCAUCGACGGGGCGGAAAUUCUUGGGUGACCAAACCUUGCAAAAUGUUUGUAUGUGGUUGUAGAUGGCCUCCAGCUCCAUGGCACACGAGGUAGACAAUCUUCCUGGUUGAAGGAGGUGCGUGCAGGUUAAUGGAUCUCUCCAUCAUGGCAUCUCAUUCACCAGCCACCACACCAUAGUUUCUCGCCACAUUUGUCUUGGAUGUAUGUUCUUCCGCUGGCAGCGGUGGUUGAAUUGUAAGGGGUCAAGGAACGGAGACACGCUAUUUGCGCUCAUCUUCCUAGGUUAAUAAAGAUGUACAUGCGACAUGAAAUGAGGACACAUGUCCUGAAGAUUGCGCGAAAGAAGGGGAGACACCUGGAGCGCCAACGCAAGGGACAUAUGCAAACCUAUCAUUGUAAUGUUAUUUGGGCCCUGGACUAGAGCAAAACCGUUCUCUAUGGCUUGGUUGAACAUGACAUUGGGCUCCCUCCGGUCUAAGUGUAUCAUAAGAAGUAGCGGAAGCUUGUCUAAAAAAAGAAGUAGCGGAAGCAAGGAACAUGUGACCUUGAUCCCCGUCACAUCAAGGGGCGUCUACCGAAAGGCGCAGGAGAAGCCCUCAAAAUAAUGCACGAAGCCCGAAGAACUCGAUGGAUCAGGCCAGAAGGUCACGCGUCCAUGGAGCUUCUGACAUGGUGGGAGCUGUAAACAUGGAGAUUUUCAUGAGGGCAAAAGGAGGCCGCCCAGGUUCUCAUUCCUAGAGGACACGCUACACCAAAUCCAUAUGCACUCGGGAGCUCUUGACGAUGCCAUGCAGUAAGGGUGACUGACCAAUAGGAGCCCGGGAAGCAGGUCUGCCACGAGGGCCGCGUGCCAGAAGGGGUUCGAUGAUAGGAGGAGACCCAAAUCCUCGGGCAGGGAAAACAAUCAAAGAAUUGUGGUAGCCUAAGGUCGGUUAGAUCGCGAUGUAAACACCAAAUCCCCAUUGUCUAUAUAAGGCGGGGGUAGUAGGCUAGAGAUCAUCUACUCUGGCGGAAACAUACUCUUAGUAGUCUCAUAUUUCAUCCCCUGUUGCAAACCUUGCACAAGGUACUCCAUCAUGAAUACAGUCCAAAACAUGAUGCAGGUUGUUACUCCUUACGGGAGGCCCAAACCUCGUAACUUCCUCAUGUGAUCUGCAUCUGGUACUUCCAACCAUGUUGGCCACCCUAUUAAGGGUAAUCAUGGGUUUACGUACUACCAGCAGAAGUUUGAGGACAUCAUGCUGGAAUUGUUGCCAGCUACAUCCUACAUGGUGGUGAACUUCAACCAACACCUAAUGGAGUUGCAUACGACACAAUGGCGAGCUACAACUGGCACCCGACGGAGUGGCAUUCAGCACGGCCGAAAUAUGCAAAGAGGGCAUGACAGACUGCAUCCGCCAAGAUAACAAGCUGCACCCGGUGCCGUGUGGUCCUGCGUUCGGCCAGUCGCGUGGUGGGUGCGUCCAGAUUUGCUGGAACUCACAUCGACGGGCUGCUGCAACCAUCGCAUGGUGCGACCUCCGAGUCGGGUGAUGCUGCUCAUCUAACCGCUUCGCGCCCUCGGGCCAGCAGUGCUACACCCUACCACGCCAGUGCUGCAACCGCGGUCUUCGGGUUGCUGCGACUGGCCACACCGCCGCCAACAACGAUGAGCGUUAUCCUUGCCGGAGCUCAGUGACCAUGGCUAUGAUAAUGGGCGGCCCAAACUACAUUGUUGGGGUGGCGAUACGGGAGAGGGCGGGGGCGUGCGGCGCAUGUUACGCAAUCCGGGGUCCGCUAACACCAGCGUUUCCGACCCACAUGCGUCAACAGGCCCAACCGGAGAGCAACACCGACUUAUGACAGGCCUUGGGCCCUCUCUCCCCAAAAGACUAGCCUUUUAGGAGGGAACACCCUCACCCUUAUAAGUCGUGUUACUUCUCCUCCCACAACCGAUGUGGGACUAAACCCAACAAUUUGAGGCACAUAGUUGAUCUAUCGAGGAUCAAGCAAUCACACAAGCAUGACACCGAGAUUUGUUAACGAGGUUCACCAUCAUGGCUACAUCCCCGGGGCCUGACUAUGGGUGCUCCUCCCUGUGACACCGUCACAAUACCGCAUCCCAGCCGCCCGGACGCCGGCACACGCCGACGGCUCCCCCGCAUGCAUGUGCUAUUAUGUUGGCAUAGGUUACAUCGUGUGUCUACCCCCGCUAUAUAUAAAAGGCCUAGGAUACAAGUGUCCUGCUUAGACACGACUCCAUAUCCUAUCUAAACACAAUACAACUACAAGUCCAACUGUAACCUAGCUAUCUUGUACACAAUAUUCGACACAAUUCUAACAGCGCAAAGGGACAGCGAGGCCGAUUAGACGGUUCACAUGGUUAUAAGGCCACGUAAGAAAACUUGCCUUGAGAUGUGUUAUCUUACUAGCUGAGUUACUUCCACUAUGACCAGUCUAAUACUUCCCGAAAAUAUGUAAUUCUUCCCUUUUAAUUGAUUGGUAUCCUUGUAGCUAGUAAAACUUAAUUAAUGGGAGAAAAACGUGCGCAUAGUUCUAACUUUCAAACGAGACAACUUGUUGAACAGUGCUAUGAACACCAGUGCUUUCUUACGAUUCUUUUCUUCGUCAAUACGCAUGUUGAGUAUCAUUUUAUUGAUAGGGGAAGGAAUGAUUACACAGUAGCAAUCCUCACCCAGUGUACACGGUCAGGCGUUGGCGAGGAUGCUAGGGAGCAGAGAGUAGGCUGCUCAUCCGAGAGACAGUGCGAGUUUGUAUUACAUGUAAAAUGUUACUGAGCCCUCGAUCACCCCCUUUCGCCUAGGCGCGAGCUUCCUUUCCUCCUGAAUAUAGCUAACCAGGUCGGUAUGAGUGGGUGUGGCACACUCAAAAACGCAAGCGUUCCAGUGUCUCCAUAUGAAUCACAAGAUGAGGGUUGCGAGCGUGCCAAUGACCUUGGCUUCGGGGGGUGGUGGUGGUGGUGCGGGCCUUCCUGCCGUCAAGGUGUAGUACGAUAGUGAGGCGGCACCAGUGGAGAAUAUCAUGCCAGAUGGUGCGGGAGAACACACAUGCAAUGAGGAAAUGGUGGAUGGAUUCUUCUUCCUAGUUAGAGAGGAUGCAAGUCGGCGAUUGAGGAAGCCCGUGUUGGGCAAGGCGCUCGCCCAUCCAACAUCUCUCAAGGCCGACGAUCCACAUGAGCUUCUUGACACCAGUGGGGUCACCGUUUUUCCAUGUUAGUUUCCAGAAGGGGGUGUGUGUCAAGUAGCAGGACUUCACGGAGUAGGUCCUGUUCUCAGUCCAACGCCAGUGGAUCAUGUUGGUCUCCUAGCUGAGCGAGAUGUUGCGUAGGGGCCACCAGAUGUCAAUAUUCUCCAUGGUAGCCAUAUGCCCAAGGGCACCACGGAUAUCAAGGAUCCAAGCACACUGCAGGAUGGCGUCGCAGGCAAGAUGGUUGUUUCUUGUCUGACAUCACGAUGGAUGCUCCAUCAAGCGAGUGGUCGGUCCAAAAUUUGCAGCUCUUGCCGCUACCAAGGGUCUAGGUUGUGGAUGCGCGGAAAACUUGAUGAACCUCGGUCUCGCACGGCAGGCGUAAGUUACUCCAUGGUCGUUGCGGAUUGGUGGCCUAUGGCCAAAGCCAAUGGGCGUGCAUGGCAAUGUCGGUGCAGCGAAUUGACCGGGCAGUUCCCGGCUCUAGCAUGUUUUCGCCCGUGCCACAAGAAGUCACGGAUAAGCGUUGUGGCUUGCUUGAGAAUGGAAGGGCAGAUCGCCAUGGCAAGGAGAAGAUGGACCGGUAUCGCGGUGAGCACGUGUUGAACGAGGGCUAGCCUCUCGCCACGGGUAAGCAGGGACGCCCGCCAAGUGGAUAGCUUCUUCGCCAACUUGUUGAUGAGGGUAGUAACCUUGAGUGAUGCAGCUUAUGUACCGACAGCGGGAGGCCGAGCUACUUGAUCGGAAAGGGAGCCACUUGGCAAGAGAGGGUCGUGCCCAUGGUGGUAGUCAUGUCUUCGAAGAACUGGAUCGGGGUGAUAGAGUAUUCACUGUAGUUGAUUGAUAUGCAUGCCCGAGGCCACGCCAAAGGUGUGAAGGAUCGCCUUGAUGGUCAAUAGGUCGGAACCAGUUCGAGCCGUGUCUGCUGACGAGUCUCCGAAGGGCACAGGAGUCCGUGGCCCGAUGAAGGAGAAAGUUGAGCGUAUCGAUGACAAGCAUGAAGAGCAUGGAAGAGAGGGGGUCUCCCUGCCGAAGCCCUUGGGCAUGGGCAACAACCGAGGUUCUUGGUACGACGCUAGCGAGAAACUAAAAUAGUUAUAGGGCCGUCCAUGCUUAGGGGAAAUUGCCGCCCAGACGCUGGAUAAAGUCUUGUACAAUAACCGGAUGACAAGAUGCCGUAUGCAUACGGUACUUUGGCAGCUUGUCUGCUAGUUUAACAUGCAUCCAUGGCAUGGCAUGGCAUGGCACCUUGUCCUUCGGAACACGUUCCUCCGAACGAGACAACUGACGAAUGACAAAAAACAGCUUGUUUGCUUGUACCCAAGGGCGAAGGAUGCAUGCACACACACACACACACUAGCUCGUAAAGCAAACAAUCUGGAGUUGUAAUAGCAUGAAGUAUAGGUGCGUACGUACCUAACGCGCAUGCGUCGCACCCCGAUGUAUGUCUAUACCUCCACGGAAUGUUGCCCGGCUGCUUAGCAUCAGGAUCAAAUUGCAAGCGAUUAGACAAGGUAAUUAAUAGUAAUACUCCAUUACAUACAUACACAUUAGGAAAUUCAUUAAGGACAACUGUAGUAAUUCACAUAACCAGAAGAAGCAUUAGUGCUAAAUCAUUUGGUAGAUGGUUAAUAACUUCCAAAUACGGUCGACAGCUAGCUAGCGGAUGGAGAGCUGCUAGCAAUCGCCAUGUACGUACGAGGAUCCACAGCAAGGGAGGGGAGGCGACUAUGACUCACCAGGUGGUUCUCGGAGACAGGCGGUGGCACCCGCGUCGUCGGGAGGGCAUGCGCCGCGACGUGGGACUCCAACCGCUGCCUGCUGGCGGCCGGUGCAGGGGCGGGGUUGGCCUGGCGGCGUUUCCUGGGCUUGGGUGCCACCAGGGGUGGCGCCGUCGCCGCCUGGAGGGCAAGCACCACGCACGGCCGCACCUCGUUUUUCCCAACGUCGGCGGCUGGGACGGGUGCCUUCUCGCCUUUCCCAACGUC
rnacentral:lncRNA from 1 species